UGUAAGAAAAAAGAGAGAGAGCAAGAGAGAGAUUCCAAGUAGAGUGUUCUGUCCCGCGAGUCAUUGGCUGCAUUAGAUUAGCGCUAGCCAUAGUAUCAACCAUCUUACAAACUGUAGGAUAUAUUCGUGUCGAGCCUCCGCCAAUUACCGCUAGAAGUCUGAGUAGAUUUGUUUAUCUUUCCGACCAAGUCUAUGUGAGUCUCGAAUCAUGUGAUAUGGUACAUGAUAGGAUUGGGUUUUCGCUAAAAAUUGCUUAGGAUUUUCGUGUUAAAUCUAGGAAUUAUUGUUGGUUUAUUGUGUAGAUUUGUUUCUUAUCCAUCUAUAUUUAGCUCUAGGUAGUUAAGUAUCGUUUCAUUUUUUGUCUUGCAUGUAGAUUUGUCUUGCAUGUUGAUUAUUAAUUGUGUGAAUGUUUAUGUGCUUUUGUGUUAUCGCUUAGUCUCUAGAUUUCACUCUAGUUAGUUAAGUUUCAUGUUGCUUAUUGUUGUUUUCAUGAUUCCCUGUUUGCAUUGCAUGUUAUUAUUGUUUACAUGUUGCUUGUGUGUCUUGUAUGUUGUUGUUUGUCUGUGUGUUGAGGUUGUGUAAGGCCGUAAUCUGAGUGGAUUACGAAGACGCAGAGUGAUGGAAUUUAAGCCUAUGGUCGAGUACUACACAAUUGUGUAGCUGAGUCCGCCUUUUGAGAGGGUCUCGCAUGUGAUGUUCUAUGCUCGUGUGCCUUUGUGGCUGCAAGUAUAAGGUGUUCACGGGUGUGGGGAAAGUGAUGGAGUGAAGGUCGCUAGGAGUGUCAAAAAGAGUCAUUAGCUUCCACUUGUGCAUACUUGGUGACAAUAUACUUGUGAUUUUUUUUCUAGCUUGUGUUGUUUGUGUUGCUUACAUGUUGUCUGUUGCUUGUUGGUGUUGGGUUUUGGGUUUUUUGGUUUCUUGUUAGGUUCCCGAACUCACUGAGUGACUAGCACUCAUGACUCCAUAAUUUGUUUUGCAGGUAACUUUAGUCGGGAAAACCUUAGAGGGAGCACAUGACGUUAGGCCAACCGGUGUAUUGUUGCAUUGCCUUGCCUUGUCCGGGCCAACACAACAUUCCAGGUGGCAAGGAUUGCAAAGCCUAAACUGUGUUAGAGCAGCGAAAUUGUUCUAAGGAGGACUGGUUGGGAAGCGACCGCUUCUAUCCCUCGACCGGACCACCUAGGCGCAGUUUCCAUAGUAGCGUAUUGUGACUGUCCGUUGGCUUGUCCGGUCAUAAGACGGUUCGGGAACGUUACAGACUCCCUACAUGAUAUUCUUGCAAGCUAUGCCGUAUCAACAAAAUGGAUAUCAUAUGCUGAUUUUGAGGAGCUAAUCCUUCUCUAGUUUUCAUCUUGGAGCUCAUUCUCAAACAUUGGAAAAAAAGGAAAAGAGACAGCCAACCAACCACAUAUGUGGAUCCUCAAACUAGUACAAGACAUCAUGACCUGAUUAAGGACAAACCUUAUUUCGCAACAAUGGCAAUGGUGGAUCUCAUCUUGCUCGAGAAUCAACUCUCCUACUUUAUUUUGGAAAAGUUGUUCGAAUGCAGAAAAAAUUUGGUUGAAUCAUCUCUCACGCCCACACUAGAAGAACUAAUCCUGAAAUUGUGUUCC